GGAUUGCCUCAGUAACGGCGAGUGAAGCGGCAACAGCUCAAAUUUGAAAUCUGGCCGCAAGGUCCGAGUUGUAAUUUGUAGAGGAUGUUUCGGGCACCGCCGCGGUGUAAGUUCCUUGGAACAGGACGUCAAAGAGGGUGAGAAUCCCGUCUUGGAUCGCGGUAGGGCUCGUGUGAAACUCCUUCGACGAGUCGACUUGUUUGGGAAUGCAGGUCAAAAUGGGAGGUAAAUUUCUUCUAAAGCUAAAUAUUGGCCCGAGACCGAUAGCGCACAAGUAGAGUGAUCGAAAGAUGAAAAGCACUUUGAAAAGAGAGUUAAACAGUAUGUGAAAUUGUUGAAAGGGAAGCGCAGGCAACCAGACUCGAGCGCGGGGUUCCCCUGGUUCUGCCAGGUCACUUCCCCGCGACCGGGCCAUCAUCAGGUUUGGGGGUCGGUCAAAGGCCCCGGGAAUGUACCUACUCCUUCGGGGGUAGACUUAUAGCCCGGGGUGUCAUGCGACCUCCCGGGCCUGAGGAACGCGCUUCGGCGAGGAUGAUGGCGUAAUGGUUGUCUGCGACCCGUCUUGAAACACGGACCAAGGAGUCUAACAUCUAUGCGAGUGUUUGGGUGUCAAACCCCGGCGCGGAAUGAAAGUGAACGGAGGUCGGAAGGCGCAAGCCCGCACGAUCGACCGAUCCUGAUGUCUUCGGAUGGAUUUGAGUAAGAGCAUAGCUGUUGGGACCCGAAAGAUGGUGAACUAUGCGUGAAUAGGGUGAAGCCAGAGGAAACUCUGGUGGAGGCUCGCAGCGGUUCUGACGUGCAAAUCGAUCGUCAAAUUUGCGUAUAGGGGCGAAAGACUAAUCGAACCAUCUGGUAGCUGG
rnacentral:rRNA from 1 species